AGAAUCUAGAAGGAGAAUGAUGUUCUAGGUUGGUUAUAAUUUUUCUAUGGUUUGGUCCCUCUUUCCGUCCCGAGCCGUGAGAAAGACAUCUCGCGGCAGUUGACAAACAGCGAGCGCUGAAAAAUUUUCGAUUUUCAGCAUUUACAAUCAGCUCGUAAUUAACGGGACCGGGAAAGCAGCGACCAAGUUAAAUCAAAGAUUUCAAACGCCAAACGGACAUGAUCAAUAACCGGAUUUUCGUCACUCGACGGACAAUCGAUGUUGCUGCUGCUGUUCUUGGCUUCUUGCCGACGACCUAUGGUGGAUCAACUAGUGGAUACCGUAGUGGAGGUGGUCGCGGAGGAGGUGGCGGGGGUCAGAGAAAUGGUUAUGGUGGUGGCGGCGGAGGUGGGAGCAGUAGCAGUGGUCGUUUUGGCAGCAGAGGAGGAGGUGGAGGUGGCAGUAGCCGUGGAGGCGGUGGAGGUCGAGGAGGCAGCAGUCUGAGGAAACCAAACUGGGACUAUGAGAACCUGAAACCAUUCAAAAAAGACUUCUAUGUUCCCCACUCUAACGUAUCCAGCCGGCUGCCUCGCGAGGUGGAAAUUUACAGAGGAGACAAGCAGAUCACCCUCAAGGGCGACAGCAUUCCAAACCCUAUUCAGUAUUUCGAGGAGGGGAAUUUUCCUGACUAUGUAAUGCAGGGAAUUAGAAAGCAGGGAUUUGCAGAACCAACAGCAAUUCAGGCUCAGGGAUGGCCCAUUGCCAUGUCUGGACGCAACAUGGUCGGCAUCGCUCAAACUGGAUCAGGAAAAACUCUAGGUUACGUUCUCCCAGCCAUUGUUCAUAUCAACAAUCAGCAGCCUCUGAAUCACGGUGAUGGACCCAUCGCUCUGAUCCUUGCACCGACCAGAGAACUCGCGCAGCAAAUUCAGACGGUUGCUACAGAAUUCGGCUCUCUUUCCUAUGUCAGAAGCACGUGCAUAUUUGGUGGAGCACCUAAGGGAGGCCAGGCUCGGGACCUGGAGCGAGGGGUCGAGAUUUGCAUUGCCACUCCUGGUCGCCUGAUAGAUUUUCUUGAAAGGGGCACUACUAAUUUACGCAGAUGCACGUACUUGGUAUUAGACGAAGCUGACAGAAUGCUUGAUAUGGGAUUUGAACCUCAAAUCAGAAAAAUCAUUGAGCAGAUCAGACCUGACAGGCAAGUACUGAUGUGGUCUGCAACUUGGCCAAAAGAAGUUCGCAACCUUGCUGAAGAGUAUUUAACUGAUUACACGCAACUGAAUAUCGGCUCGCUCACACUUUCUGCGAACCACAACAUUCUGCAGAUUAUCGAUGUUUGCCAAGAGCAUGAAAAAGAAACCAAAUUGGGAAGCCUGCUGCAAGAAAUUGGAAACGUUAACGACGAUGGCGGAAAGACAAUUAUAUUUGUUGAGACUAAAAAAAAGGUUGAGAACAUCACAAGAAACAUCCGCAGAUACGGGUGGCCAGCAGUAUGUAUGCAUGGCGACAAAUCGCAGCAAGAGCGUGAUUACGUUCUCAGAGAGUUUAGAAACAAGAAGGGUUCAAUCCUUGUAGCGACAGAUGUUGCUGCGCGUGGCCUGGAGGCACAUGGUGCACAGAUUGAUAUAAGAGUGUUCAGAAACGGCUAUAAAUUUCUGACUGUCUGUGUUCCUAGAAACUAUAUAUAGUAUGCUACCUCAGCUAGUAUGCAUAUAUAUAUAUAGAUAACGUACGUAAUAGCGCAAUAUCGUUUGUGCAAUUGUACGUAAUGUGCCUCUGGUACUGCCUAUGUACCACUCGAGUGUCAUUGUGGUGCAAAGGUACAAAUCACGCCACGCUGUAUGGUUAUGGGUAAGAGAUGUCGAAGGUUUGGUACAUUGAAAAUGUCAAUACAACCAUACCACUCUCUAUAAUCAAGCCACAGCAAAUGUGAGACAACAAUCUAUUGAUUUUGCUACUAUUGCUACUCUCUGCUCUGUGAGGAUCAGUAAGACGGGACUUACUUUGUCGACUAGACUCGUUAUUGAAGGUAAACGUUUAUCAAGAACGCUGUUAGCUGGAAUAAAAUAUCUAAUGAUGUGGAUGACGUAAGGUACGUGAUCAAUUUCGACUACCCGUCAUCGUCAGAAGACUACAUUCACAGAAUCGGUAGAACGGGCCGAUCGCAAAGUACAGGAACAAGCUACGCUUUCUUCACCCCACAGAAUGGCAGAC
rnacentral:misc_RNA from 1 species